rnacentral:rRNA from 1 species
UGGAUUGGUGCCUUCGGGAACGUCUGACACAGGUGCUGCAUGGCUGUCGUCAGCUCGUGUCGUGAGAUGUUGGGUUAAGUCCCGUAACGAGCGCAACCCUUGUCCUUAGUUACCAGCACGUUAUGGUGGGCACUCUAAGGAGACUGCCGGUGACAAACCGGAGGAAGGUGGGGGAUGACGUCAAGUCAUCAUGGCCCUUACGGCCUGGGCUACACACGUGCUACAAUGGUCGGUACAAAGGGUUGCCAAGCCGCGAGGUGGAGCUAAUCCCAUAAAACCGAUCGUAGUCCGGAUCGCAGUCUGCAACUCGACUGCGUGAAGUCGGAAUCGCUAGUAAUCGUGAAUCAGAAUGUCACGGUGAAUACGUUCCCGGGCCUU